GUAGGGAAUUUUGCGCAAUGGGGGAAACCCUGACGCAGCAACGCCGCGUGAGUGAUGAAGGAUUUCGAUUCGUAAAGCUCUGUUGCAGGGGAAAAUUAUGAUUGUACUCUGCGAGAAAGGACCGGCCAACUUCGUGCCAGCAGCCGCGGUAAGACGAAGGGUCCUAGCGUUGUUCGGAAUUAUUGGGCGUAAAGAGUAUGUAGGCGGCUAGUUAAGUCGUAUGUGAAAUCCCGGAACUUAAUUCCGGAACUGCAUAUGAUACUGAUUAGCUUGAGUACGAGAGAGGAUCGUGGAAUUCCUGGUGUAGUGGUGAAAUACGUAGAUAUCAGGAGGAACAUCGGUGGCGAAGGCGGCGAUCUGGCUCGAUACUGACGCUGAGAUACGAAAGCGUGGGGAUCAAACAGGAUUAGAUACCCUGGUAGUCC
rnacentral:rRNA from 1 species